rnacentral:rRNA from 1 species
AACGUUAAUCGGGGCAGGGUGAGUCGGCUCCUAAGGCGAGGCUGAAAAGCGUAGUCGAUGGGAAACAGGUUAAUAUUCCUGUACUUGGUAAAGCUGCGAUGUGGGGACGGAGUAGGUUAGGUUAUCGCACUGUUGGAUAUGUGCGUUUAAGUUGGUAGGUGGGAAGUUUAGGCAAAUCCGGGCUUCCUUAACACAGAGAGAUGAUGACGAGGCUCUACGGAGCUGAAGUAACUGAUACCACACUUCCAGGAAAAGCCACUAAGCGAAAGGCUUUACUAAACCGUACUGAAAACCGACACAGGUGGUCAGGUAGAGAAUACUCAGGCGCUUGAGAGAACUCGGGUGAAGGAACUAGGCAAAAUAGCACCGUAACUUCGGGAGAAGGUGCGCCGGCGUAGAUUGUAAGGGCUAGCCCCUGAAGGUUGAACCGGUCGAAGAUACCAGCUGGCUGCAACUGUUUAUUAAAAACACAGCACUCUGCAAACACGAAAGUGGACGUAUAGGGUGUGAUGCCUGCCCGGUGCUGGAAGGUUAAUUGAUGGUGUAAUCGCAAGAGAAGCACCUGAUCGAAGCCCCAGUAAACGGCGGCCGUAACUAUAACGGUCCUAAGGUAGCGAAAUUCCUUGUCGGGUAAGUUCCGACCUGCACGAAUGGCAUAAUGAUGGCCAGGCUGUCUCCACCCGAGACUCAGUGAAAUUGAAAUCGCCGUGAAGAUGCGGUGUACCCGCGGCUAGACGGAAAGACCCCGUGAACCUUUACUAUAGCUUGACACUGAACAUUGAAUUUUGAUGUGUAGGAUAGGUGGGAGCCUUUGAAGCAGUGACGCCAGUCAUUGUGGAGGCGACCUUGAAAUACCACCCUUUAACGUUUGAUGUUCUAACGAAGAUGACGAAACGUGGUCUCGGACAGUGUCUGGUGGGUAGUUUGACUGGGGCGGUCUCCUCCCAAAGCGUAACGGAGGAGCACGAAGGUUUGCUAAUCACGGUCGGACAUCGUGAGGUUAGUGCAAUGGUAUAAGCAAGCUUAACUGCGAGACAGACAAGUCGAGCAGGUACGAAAGUAGGUCAUAGUGAUCCGGUGGUUCUGAAUGGAAGGGCCAUCGCUCAACGGAUAAAAGGUACUCCGGGGAUAACAGGCUGAUACCGCCCAAGAGUUCAUAUCGACGGCGGUGUUUGGCACCUCGAUGUCGGCUCAUCACAUCCUGGGGCUGAAGUAGGUCCCAAGGGUAUGGCUGUUCGCCAUUUAAAGUGGUACGCGAGCUGGGUUUAGAACGUCGUGAGACAGUUCGGUCCCUAUCUGCCGUGGGCGU